UCUUGACCAUCAAUUAGUCACUGAGCUCACUGGCAGGAGACUUCACACCAUCUCCAGAUAGGAUGAAAAUUGUACCUAUUUACUCUGUUUCUCCAUAGAUGCUGCCUGACUUAAAUGAACUUUUCCAGUCAUUUUUGUUCCAAUUUACUAAUUUGAGUGUUCUGCAGUAUUAUGUUUAUGUUCUAUUGCCCUGGCUAUCUCCUUAUGUAAUAAACCUGAUGACUUCAUGGGAACAAUGGAAGAGAACACUGGUCACUUUUUGUUUUGCUUUUUGGUGCAUGGAGUUUGAUAUACUGCUUGCUCUCCGGGAGACCUCAGCUGCCUGUUCUCAAUGCCAUCGCCACAGAUACUAGGAAUCUGUGGAUACUAGGAUACUAGGAAUCCGAUGAAGCCGCAGCUGCCGCAUCCAAUCUCUAACUGACAAUUUCCAGACGAAAAUGUGCAAAGUAGCAGUUGAAGCAGAGUUACUCAACAGGUCUUGCUGUCGGAUCUGGAAAACAUCAGUGAGCAGUUCCCAAGACAGCCUCAGGCAUCUGGUAUGUUGUUGCUUGGAUGUUUGGGUGCAGUUUGCCCACAUCAUGAACAUACAAUGAUUCACCUUCUCAUCUGAUAUCUUCCCUGAAUGGCUGCCUGUAGACCAACCUGCCCUACUGAUGCUGACUGUUGUUGGAAUUAUAACCUCCAUAGUGGACUUGGGACCCAUUGUUUUUCCUAUCCUCUGCUCCUGCUCUUGAGUGAAAAAUGUAGACAA